AGUAAGAGAGGAGACUGAACCACGAACCCUAAAAGCAAAAUCCACCGUUCAAACUCGGUUAAAAAAACUGAAAAUUGUGUCGCAAGAACUUGUAAGUCUAUUUUAAUAACUUUUUUUUUAUAUUUUCAUUUUUUAAUUUACUGAUUAUAUAUUUUUUUAUUUGUUUUCUAGGAAAUCUAAGGAUGUAGAUACUUAAAAAGGCUUUUUUUAAGGGGAAGCUUCAGAUCUGGAAGCAACGAUGGCUGCAGCAAGAGGAACAAGACUAAGCACACUGGUAACACAACCACCGACACCAAGAUCUGCAACCCAGCAGCAAGUAGGCUAUCAAUGCCCCAGAAAUGCAUCCUUAUUGGAGAAUGUUACUCCAGCAAGUUUUUCAGUACCUGCAACUAUGAGAUACAACAAGAGGUCUACUAUGUCACAAGUCUUGAACAAAAUGAAGGAAAGACAAAAGAGAAGUCAACAUGAGUAGUUUAGAAUGACCAGUUUUUUUUGUAAAUGGCCUAUUUUUUUGGUUAAUUGCAUGUUCUUUUUGUAAAUGUGGAUUUUACUAGUAAUAUAGCAAAACUUACCUGUAA